rnacentral:rRNA from 1 species
CGACUCUCGGCAACGGAUAUCUCGGCUCUCGCAUCGAUGAAGAACGUAGCGAACUGCGAUACUUGGUGUGAAUUGCAGAAUCCCGUGAACCAUCGAGUCUUUGAACGCAAGUUGCGCCCGAAGCCAUUUGGUGAGGGCACGUUUGCCUGGGUGUCACAC